UGUGUUUAACACAGGUAAAAAGUAUGGUUUCUGGUCAAGCCGCCUUUCUCAACCAUGUCUCUUCCUUACCAUAGACUGUAGCCCACAUAAAAAAUACGGGCCUUAAACAUAGACUGUAAGCAGCGCUAUUUUGACCCUUGGCGCAUCCAGUAGUCUCUGCCGUGUGCGCUCACUUUAGCACCAGACUGCACCGAGGAAGAACAGAGGGAAGCGGGACGCAGUUGGAAAAACGAGGUCACACGGGCCCAGAAGCGGGUGUUAAGUGUAAAGACACCAUCACUCUGGAUUUUUGAAUGCCGUCAUUUACCGAAGGAGUUUUUUCCCCCUGGAAACUCCGGCUGGUUUUUGAGACCCUGGAUUGUAGCUUAGAGGUCAACUCUUCACUGGAUGCAGAUGGCAGCGAGUCCCAGAGAUGAUGCACCCUGUAUGAUGAGAUCAGAACAUGGUGUGGCCAGCUGCUUCAGAUCCCAUUCAACAGGACUGACACAUCAGAUUACAGGACACUGGCAGAUAAGAAAGAUCUACCACACGUUCAUUAUCCUGCCCAGGUAGAGAUACAAAUAACUGAAAGACACUGGACACUUUUUAAAAUUGUAUUUUUUAUGAAAGAGCUCUUCUUAUUCUGGGGAUUAUUUCAAACAUGCUUGGUGCACUAUGAGAGUGUUAAAGGCACUGUAAUAAACCUGCCCAUUGUUUAAUCACACACAGUCUAUUUCUUAUCCCAACACUACUCCUCAGAACCUAGGUUGGUAAGUUAGCUAAAGUUCUACACUAGUGUUAAAUAUUCUAGACCUGUCUUUAUCAUUCAAAAACUAAGCUAUAGGGCUUUCCCCAGUACGUUAAACUAUGAUGCUAAGGGGCUCCCAAGUGUGUUAUAAAGUGACAACAAGGGGUCUUGACCAUCGGUCCAUAUGUGAACUUGGGAGUGAGAACGGGUUGGGUUGUAGAUGGUUCAUUUUAUAUCAACAGUUGUACAGUUUAUGCAGCAAUAGUCUCGUGUUAUUGUGUUUUUUUGUGAAUGAAUGGGUGAAAGGCAUUUUGUAAUAAAUAAUAUGUUCUGUA